rnacentral:rRNA from 1 species
ACGUCUCUAGAAGACAUCUGAAGGAGAUUAAAGAGUUUAUCGGUGUAUGGAUGGGGAUGCGUCUGAUUAGCUUGUUGGCGGGGUAACGGCCCACCAAGGCGACGAUCAGUAGGGGUUCUGAGAGGAAGGCCCCCCACAUUGGAACUGAGACACGGUCCAAACUCCUACGGGAGGCAGCAGUGAGGAAUAUUGGUCAAUGGACGAGAGUCUGAACCAGCCAAGUAGCGUGAAGGAUGACUGCCCUAUGGGUUGUAAACUUCUUUUAUACGGGAAUAAAGUUAGCCACGUGUGGUUUUUGUAUGUACCGUAUGAAUAAGGAUCGGCUAACUCCGUG